UACGUAGGUGGCAAGCGUUAUCCGGAAUUAUUGGGCGUAAAGAGCGCGCAGGUGGUUGAUUAAGUCUGAUGUGAAAGCCCACGGCUUAACCGUGGAGGGUCAUUGGAAACUGGUCGACUUGAGUGCAGAAGAGGGAAGUGGAAUUCCAUGUGUAGCGGUGAAAUGCGUAGAGAUAUGGAGGAACACCAGUGGCGAAGGCGGCUUCCUGGUCUGUAACUGACACUGAGGCGCGAAAGUGUGGGGAGCAAACAGGAUUAGAUA
rnacentral:rRNA from 1 species